AUAUAACCCUUCGAAACCCUAGUCGAAGCGCCUCCACCGCCCUCACUUCUGCAAAAUCAUUGCAAUUCCUUCUCACAAUGCUAAAACCCUACUUCCUGCCGUACACUCACUUUCUUCUUUCUGUUUUGGUAUUCGUCAAUAGCUUAGCUUGAUCGUUUUGUUAUUUUCUCUAAAUCUUUUGUGUGUGUAGUUUACUUACACUAUGCCUGUGCCUAUGAUGGUGUUAAAUAUACUCUGAUAUUUAAAUAUAUAUGAAAAGAAUUUUCAUCUGAGGCGUUUAGGCUCAGUUUUUUUUUGUGUAUUCUCUCUUUGCUUAUCUGGGUGAUUAAUUAAGAUCUAAAUUUUAUAUGUGAAUUAACGGUAUUAACUGAAUCCAAUGGAACUUUUGGAACUAGUUUGUUCUGUUCUGCUUUAUGGUUUCCAAAUUAUUAUUGGCGCGCAGGAUUUCAGAUUUUUUUCUGCUUUUUUUUCCUGUAACUAAGCAGAUUGUUCCAUGAGUAUAACAGUUGCUGCUGUUCUGUAUAUAUGCAUUAGCAUAUAGCUUGAAUAAUUGAUUUUUUUUUUAAAUUUAAUUUCCAUGUGUAUUAUGCAAGUGAUGAUAAAAUAGACAGGGACAUCAGUUACUCUUUUGGAGAAUGAUGACUUAGUCUAAAUGGGAAUCUCUCUGAUGCAUUAUACAUGUCCUCAAAUAAGUUUUUCUAUUGAUCUUUGUAAUAUUUGUCUCAUAAUUUGUCUGUCUCUUUCAUAUUUUUCGGGUUUGAUUAUUAGGAUUGCACUUAUAUUAUCUUUUCUCUUUCAAGAUUAUCCGUUUUGUGUGGGGUUUAUACUUUUCCAGAAAACUGAUUUUCAUUUUAAUGACUUUACCAAGAUAGCAUGCAAAUAUUUUUUCAUUUUUAUGGGCUUUACUGCACCUCAAGAGGACCAAAUCUGUUUUAUCAGUAUUUAUGUUUUCUUGAUAUGCAAAUUAGUACCCAUAAGAUGUGCAGUUUGAAUCUUUGUUGUAUGCCUGAUGGUUUCUAGAAGUAAUAUGAUUAUAACUUUUUAUUGGGGCACCAAAUUUUUCUCUAUCCAUGUUUCUUACAUUUCAUCUUUUUCUCAUUUUCUUAUAAAGAUUCAUUAUGCUUCGACAUUUGAUGCAUUGCAUUUUCACCUUUUCUUUAAUAUUAUAUAUUUAAAUUUUCAAUCUGAAAUGGUUUGUGCAAACAACUAUAAAAGGACAGGUACCUUAGCACUCUGUUGCAUAAUGGUCGUCUUUGAUACUAAUAGUUUCUGAUUUUCAUAGAAAAUAGGGAACAUCAGUUAGCUUUUGCAUGUAUUUUGUGCUCUGUGUUUUAUUAUUCCUAAUGCUCUCUUUAAAAGAAAAAUGGUGGAUUCACAUCAUUAUCACUAUUAAUUAGUGUAUCCAUAGCACCUUAUGUUGCCUAUGAUGACUUCAAAUGCAUGUAUUGUCAGACAUUAUUGUGAUGAUUGCUAUCUGAUUGUCACUACCUCUGAGGCAAAGUAAUCACUUGAAUUUGGAUUUUGUAAUUGGCUGUCCUUAUUGAUGUGGCAUUUGCUUGGCAUUUUCUUUUUGGGUGGUUAGGAUUUAUCCGAUCUUUCUAAUAUUUGGCUCUCUGUUAAUCUACGAACCGGACUAUAUAUACUGCAAGAUGAUUUUCACUUUGCUUAUGAUGGGUUUUAGAUACUUAAUCUGAGGUACUACGUAUCUUUUCUGAGAUGACAAUGCAAUAUGCUUUCCUUGCCGGAUGAUUGACGUUUUGAUAAAUAUUGAUUUAAAUCAGGAAGUAUUUGCUCUUUCAUAUGGUAGCUCUGCAUGAUCAGCGUGGCUUGGCAAAUGAACAUUGAUGAUUACUCGUUCUUUCUUUAGGGAAAGUAUAUAUAUCUGUGAGCGCGCGCGUUGGUGAAUUUUAAAAUUAAAAAGAAAUUCAAAAUGGAAAAAUGAGUGACUCGUUGGCUAUGGCUAUGCACUUUCCUUUUAAAAUCUCAUCUGUGUUGGAGGACUGGAAGCCACAGUGGGAUAUAACUCAUAAUCAUUCGUCGUCCAAUGAGUCAAAGGCCUCUGUGAAAUUUACUGCGAUGAUAAAGUCCGAGUGAAGAUCGGUAGACAUAGAACGGUCUGGCUCUGUUGAGGAUGGCGCUAAGGGAGUGCGUUAGUGUAUUGAAAGGGUUGCAAGAUUGCUAAAAUGAUGAAUGGGGAAUUGAGAUAGGGAAGAGAUUUGAGAUAUGGAAUGCAGAAAGUAGUUUCCGAGUUUGAGUCGCAGCAACACUCAAGUGGGAGGAUGAUUGAAGCGUAUUGCGGAUCAAUCGUGGUGAGCAUGAUGUUGGAUUCUAUGGAGGAAGAUGAGAUUUGGUAUUGGGAAUGGGGAUUUUGCCGUGCCAGCCGUCAACUCCAUGCACAUGCCAAACUAUGUUGUUCUUUGGUAUUUUGUUGUAGCAUAGAGAAAGCAAGAAGAGAUCGACGAUAUUAUUCGAUUGAUGAGAGUCAGGAGAGGAGCACUCAUGGUUAAGAGAAGCACCAAAAGGUAAAAAGCCGGGAGGAGUUUUGAUCAGAUACUUCACAAAAAAAAGCGAGCAGGAUAUAUGCGUUGGUUUUUAAAUUUUAUUUCUAUUUGGGUUCGAAAAAUGAUGGUAUUUUUUUAAUCAAUUAAAAUUUAAAUUUUUUUUGAAUUUUGAUUGAGAUCCACUUUGUGGGUAAUUCGUUUAUUAUAUAAUAAAAAUGAAAUGCGGAAAUGCAUUUGAUGGGUUUUGAAAUUUGCGUCGGUG
rnacentral:misc_RNA from 1 species